GACGAACGCUGGCGGCGUGCUUAACACAUGCAAGUCGAACGAUGAAGAAGAGAAACGCGAACUUUGGUUCAAAUUUCACUUCGGAUUAGUGGCAGACGGGUGAGUAACGCGUGAGCAACCUACCUCUUACAAAGGGAUAGCCUCGGGAAACCGUGAUUAAUACCAUAUGACACAUUCAUAAGGCAUCUUAAGAAUGUUAAAGCUACGGCGGUAAGAGAUGGGCUCGCGUCCCAUUAGCUAGUUGGUGAGGUAACGGCCCACCAAGGCGACGAUGGGUAACCUGCCUGAGAGAGUGAACGGUCACAUUGGAACGGAGACACGGUCCAAACUCCUGCAGGAUGCAGCAAUGGCGGAUAUUGCACAGUGGAGUGAACGCUGAUGCAGCUACGCCGCGUGAGCGAUGAAAGAAUUCGGUUCGUAAAGCUCUUUUCUAUGGGAAGAAAAGGACUGUACCAUAGGAGAAAGCCCCGGCUAAAUACGUG
rnacentral:rRNA from 1 species